rnacentral:rRNA from 1 species
GUCCAGCCUGCCCAGUGACUACGGGUUCAACGGCCGCGGUAUUUUGACCGUGCAAAGGUAGCGCAAUCACUUGUCUUUUAAAUAGAGACCUGUAUGAAUGGCUAAACGAGGGCUUAACUGUCUCCCCCUUCAAGUCAGUGAAAUUGAUCUAUCCGUGCAGAAGCGGGUAUAAUAAUACAAGACGAGAAGACCCUUUGGAGCUUAAGGUACAAAGUUCAACCACGUCAAACAACUCAGCAAAAAGUAGAAACUUAGUGGAACAUGUAAUUUUACCUUCGGUUGGGGCGACCGCGGAGGAAAACCAAGCCUCCGAGUGGAAUGGGUUAAACCCCUAAAACCAAGAGAAACAUCUCUAAGCCGCAGAACAUCUGACCAAAAAUGAUCCGGCUAAUCCGCCGAUCAACGAACCAAGUUACCCUAGGGAUAACAGCGCAAUCCUCUCCCAGAGUCCAUAUCGACGAGGGGGUUUACGACCUCGAUGUUGGAUCAGGACAUCCUAAUGGUGCAGCCGCUAU